UACAGAGGGUGCGAGCGUUGUCCGGAAUCACUGGGCGUAAAGGGCGCGUAGGCGGUUUGGCAAGUCUAUGGUGAAAGCUCGCCGCUCAACGGCGAGUCGGCCACGGAUACUGCUGAACUGGAGCACUGUAGAGGCAGGUGGAAUUCCGGGUAUAGCGGUGGAAUGCGUAGAGAUCCGGAAGAACACCGGUGGCGAAGGCGGCCUGCUGGGCAGUAGCUGACGCUGAGGCGCGACAGCGUGGGGAGCAAACAGG
rnacentral:rRNA from 1 species